rnacentral:lncRNA from 1 species
UUUAUACUUAUGUGACAUUCUUGAGUCAUAGUUAUAUGAAAUGUUUGUGAACCCCCCAGCGAAUGGACGCCAAAGGUCUGACUAGGGUAAGUUCUUAAACUCAUAUAAUUGUGGUCAAGUUAUGAACUCGUAAGUUUGGUUUUAUGAACUAGGGUAUAGUAAAGUUGUGAAUGAAGCAUUGAGGAUGAUAGAAAUAGAUAGAAUUAUUAAGCAAUGGAUCAGUAGAGAAAGAGAAGAGAAGUAAAUAGAAUUUGAAAUCCCAGUAUUUCGUUAUUAAAACAAAAUCUUGAUUUUAAGACUGAGCAGAACAACCUUUUAUAUAAAGGGAAUAUUUUAAUUUGAGUAUCUUUGAUAGAUACCCGAGAAAUUUGAGUAUCUUUGAUAGAUACCCGAGAAAUUUGAGUAUCUUUGAUAGAUACCCGAGAAAUUUGAGUAU